AGAGAUAUAGCUCAGAGAUAGAGCACUUACCUGGCAUGUACGAAGCCAGGGAUUCCAAUUCCCAAUACCUCAA
rnacentral:tRNA from 1 species